GGGCUGAUCCACGUAUUUGAUUGUGCCCUUUAUUUUAUCUCUUCUUUCUUUCUGUUGCGGUGUUGAUACCAUCACCAACAUUGAGAUCGUAGGCAGAGGGAUCUGUAUUUCACACUCAUGAGGGAUCCUCUGCAAUAAAAUAUAAAUAGAUAUUAAUAGAAAAUCUAAAUAAAAGAUUGAUAACAAAAAAUUAGGGUACACAAAAUUCACAUCUUCAAAAAAUUUAAUAAAUAAAAUAAAGAUAAUAUUUUCAUUCC
rnacentral:lncRNA from 1 species